UUUUUUUUUUUCCCUCCUUACGGUCUAUUUGGCCCAGGGUGUCGGGCUCGAAACGAGCUUUCCGAAAAGUACUCACGGGGCCCGUGAGUCCAACGGGAUCGAAAGUUAGGCAUGUGAACGCGGAAGUAUGUAAAUUAACCGACAAAUUCUCAUUUUCGUAUUUCGUCGCAUAUAAGUAGUAUUCCGCUAAUAGCUAGGGAAUUGAGUUAAUUGAGUCGCUUAAAAGUCGAAAGUUGGACACUACGGAAUUUUCUUGAGAAGAGGAAUUGAGUCGAUUCAAGUAAAUUUGCAAUGCACAACAUGAG
rnacentral:misc_RNA from 1 species